UAAAGAUUACCACCGGGUAAGAAUGUAGCGAGCAUUCAUUUGUACAUCAUUAGGUCUUAGAAGAUGUGCAAAUGGAUGCUUUUUUGCA
rnacentral:ncRNA from 1 species